UCGAGGAUCUUCGUCAAUGGGCGCAAGCCUGAACGAGCGACGCCGCGUGUGCGAUGAAGGCCUUCGGGUUGUAAAGCACUGUCGAGGGGGAUCAAGGCCCGAAAGGGCUUGAGUGAUCCCUGGAGGAAGCACGGGCUAAGUUCGUGCCAGCAGCCGCGGUAAGACGAACCGUGCGAACGUUGUUCGGAAUCACUGGGCUUAAAGGGCGCGUAGGCGGCUCGCGAGGUCGGGGGUGAAAUCCCACGGCUUAACCGUGGAAGUGCCUUCGAUACCGGCGGGCUGGAGGAAGGUAGGGGUGCGCGGAACUUCUGGUGGAGCGGUGAAAUGCGUUGAUAUCAGAAGGAACGCCGGCGGCGAAAGCGGCGCACUGGACCUUUUCUGACGCUGAGGCGCGAAAGCCAGGGGAGCAAACGGGAUUAGAUACCCCUGUAGUCC
rnacentral:rRNA from 1 species